AUUGAACGCUGGCGGCAGGCCUAACACAUGCAAGUCGAGCGAGCGGCGGACGGGUGAGUAAUGUCUGGGAAACUGCCUGAUGGAGGGGGAUAACUACUGGAAACGGUAGCUCAUACCGCAUACCAUCAGAUGUGCCCAGAUGGGAUUAGCUAGUAGGUGGGGUAACGGCUCACCUAGGCGACGAUCCCUAGCUGGUCUGAGAGGAUGACCAGCAACGCUGGAAAGGAGGCACGGUCCAGACUCGGACGGGAGGCAGCAGUGGGGAAGAUUGAAUAAGGGGCGCAAGCCUGAUGCAGCCAUGCCGCGUGUGUGAAGAAGGACUGCGGGUUGUAAAGCACUUUCAGCGGGGAGGCGUUACAAGCAGAAGAAGCACCGGCUAACUCCGUGCCAGCCGCCGCGGUAAUAC
rnacentral:rRNA from 1 species